rnacentral:ncRNA from 2 species
AAUGUAUGGGGAUCUGCCGAAUGGAGGGGGACAACAGUUGGAAACGACUGCUAAUACCGCAUAAUGUUGAGAAACCAAAGCAUGGGACCUUCGGGCCAUGCGCCAUUUGAUGAACCCAUAUGGGAUUAGCUAGUUGGUAGGGUAAAGGCUUACCAAGGCGACGAUCUCUAGCUGGUCUGAGAGGAUGACCAGCCACACUGGAACUGAGACACGGUCCAGACUCCUACGGGAGGCAGCAGUGGGGAAUAUUGCACAAUGGGGGAAACCCUGAUGCAGCCAUGCCGCGUGUAUGAAGAAGGCCUUCGGGUUGUAAAGUACUUUCGGUAAUGAGAAAGGUGAUGUAUCUAAUAGGUGCAUCAAUUGACGUUAAUUACAGAAGAAGCACCGGCUAACUCCGUGCCAGCAGCCGCGGUAAUACG